UUUAUUUUUUUUUUUCUUCUUUUUAUUUUUUUUUCUUUUUUUCUUCUC
rnacentral:ribozyme from 1 species